CCAACCGACGAAAGCGUGAAGUGAGGCGCGCCCAGUCCCACCCUGCCCAGGACCUUACAUUGUUAGGACUAGGAUCACUAGAUCAAAGGGCUAUGAGAAGCCCCUUUCAAUUCCUUGUUGAGACCUCUACAGUUCCUUUGGAGUGCUUUCCCCGCUCCUGCAGCAAGGUUGAAGCCAGUGAGACCAGGAGCCCACCAGGGAGAAAGAGCAACUCCAGAUGCGCUGCCUUAAGAGCUGUAACACUCACCGCAAUGGUCUGCAGCUUCACUCCUGAGCCAGCGAGACCCCGAACCCACCAGAAGGAAGAAACUCCGAACACAUCCAAAUAUCAGAAGGAACAAACUCCAGACGCGCCACCUUAAGAGCUGUAACAUUCACCGCGAGGGUCCGCGGCUUCAUUCUUGAAGUCAGUGAGACCAAGAACGCACCAAUUCUGGACACACCAUCAGCAGUGUUGAGGCUUUCUUGCAAAAAUGCCUGUUUGGGAUUCCUCAGAGUACAGACAAAAAGGAAGGCUUGAUCAGCAUGUGGUGGAUCUGAAGAUUCAAAGAGGUGCCACAGCUCAAAAGUAGACAUUUUGGCAAAUGUGAAGAAGUGAGAUUCAAUGAAGAUGAUAAGAAAUGAAAGGUGUUACCAAAAGUAUCAGUACACCUCUCUCUAAGCCAUCCUGUGGUGACUGAAGAAGGGCCUAGCAGCAAAGGGACUCCAUCGCCCGAGGAGCAGCUUCCGCAGGAGCUCUGGCAGGUUCCUUGGAAAACGUGGCAGUGCCGGCCCAUGGUGCCCUGUUCAGAAAUACAAGACUCAGAUUUAGUAAAGCCAGUUGUGUAAUGUGAAAUUACACAAGUAUUUCUGUCAUUUUCCUACUAAAUUACAUGAAGGGGGUUGUCUGCUUAUGAGCUGCACCACCGAGCAGCAUGCCUAUCAGCGAGAAGGUGCCUGACAAUUCUCAG
rnacentral:lncRNA from 10 species